rnacentral:rRNA from 1 species
CCAAUAGCGUAUAUUAAAGUUGUUGCAGUUAAAAAGCUCGUAGUUGAACUUCGGGGUCUACCCAUUGGUCAGGCUUAAUUGUCUGUACUGGUGAGAUGGAUCUCUACCUUCUGAGGAACUUUCAUGCCAUUUAUUUGGUGUGGUUGGAAUCAGGACUGUUACUUUGAAAAAAUUAGAGUGUUUAAAGCAGACUAUCGUCUGAAUACAUUAGCAUGGAAUAAUGAAAUAGGACGGACUGAUUCUAUUUCGUUGGUUUCUAGGAUCACCGUAAUGAUUAAUAGGGAUAGUUGGGGGCAUUAGUAUUCAAUUGUCAGAGGUGAAAUUCUUGGAUUUAUUGAAGACUAACUACUGCGAAAGCAGUUGCCAAGGAUGUUUUCAUUAAUCAAGAACGAAAGUUAGGGGAUCGAAGACGAUCAGAUACCGUCGUAGUCUUAACCAUAAACUAUGCCGACUAGGGAUCGUACGAAGUUAAUUUUAUAAUGACGCGGUUGGCACCUUACG